rnacentral:rRNA from 1 species
ACUGAAAACACCAUUCACGAAAGUAACUUUAUACAAACAGAAUUUUUGACCUCACGACAGUUAAGACCCAAACUAGGAUUAGAUACCCUACUAUGCUCAACCAUAAACAUUGUUACUAAUAAUUUACCUUAAUACCCGCCCGAGUACUACAAGCGCUAGCUUAAAACCCAAAGGACUUGGCGGUGCUCCAAAUCCACCUAGAGGAGCCUGUUCUAUAACCGAUAAUCCGCGUUCAACCUCACCACUUCUUGCUCUUCCACCGCCUAUAUACCGCCGUCGUCAGCUCACCCUGUGAAGGUACAAUAGUAAGCAAAAUGACCUCCCUCCUCAAUACGUCAGGUCGAGGUGUAGCGAAUGAAGUGGGAAGAAAUGGGCUACAUUCUCUCUUUAGAGUACACGAAUAGAAACAUGAAAAUCUUCUUAAAGGCGGAUUUAGUAGUAAGUAAACUUUAGAACAUUAUACUGAAACCGGCUCUGGAGCGCGCACACA